rnacentral:rRNA from 1 species
ACGAACGCUGGCGGCAGGCUUUACCCAUGCAAGUCGAGCGCCCCGCAAGGGGAGCGGCAGACGGGUGAGUAACGCGUGGGAACGUACCUUUUGGUUCGGAACAACUCCGGGAAACUGGAGCUAAUACCGGAUAAGCCCUAACGGGGAAAGAUUUAUCGCCGAAAGAUCGGCCCGCGUCUGAUUAGCUAGUUGGUGAGGUAACGGCUCACCAAGGCGACGAUCAGUAGCUGGUCUGAGAGGAUGAUCAGCCACACUGGGACUGAGACACGGCCCAGACUCCUACGGGAGGCAGCAGUGGGGAAUAUUGGACAAUGGGCGCAAGCCUGAUCCAGCCAUGCCGCGUGAGUGAUGAAGGCCUUAGGGUUGUAAAGCUCUUUUGUCCGGGAAGAUAAUGACUGUACCGGAAGAAUAAGCCCCGGCUAACUUCGUG